rnacentral:rRNA from 1 species
UACGGAGGGAGCUAGCGUUGUUCGGAAUUACUGGGCGUAAAGCGCACGUAGGCGGCUUUGUAAGUUAGAGGUGAAAGCCCGGAGCUCAACUCCGGAAUUGCCUUUAAGACUGCAUCGCUAGAAUCAUGGAGAGGUGAGUGGAAUUCCGAGUGUAGAGGUGAAAUUCGUAGAUAUUCGGAAGAACACCAGUGGCGAAGGCGACUCACUGGACAUGUAUUGACGCUGAGGUGCGAAAGCGUGGGGAACAAACAGG